UACAGAGGGUGCGAGCGUUGUCCGGAAUCACUGGGCGUAAAGGGCGCGUAGGCGGCGCGGCAAGUCCAUGGUGAAAGCUCAGGGCUCAACUCUGAGUCGGCCACGGAUACUGCUGGGCUAGAGCACGGUAGAGGCAGGUGGAAUUCCUGGUGUAGCGGUGAAAUGCGCAGAUAUCAGGAGGAACACCAAUGGCGAAGGCAGCUCGCUGGAACGGUACUGACGCUGAGGAGCGAAAGCGUGGGGAGCAAACAGG
rnacentral:rRNA from 1 species